rnacentral:rRNA from 1 species
GAUGAACGCUGGCGGCGUGCCUAAUACAUGCAAGUCGAGCGAAUGGAUUAAGAGCUUGCCCUUAUGAAGUUAGCGGCGGACGGGUGAGUAACACGUGGGUAACCUGCCCAUAAGACUGGGAUAACUCCGGGAAACCGGGGCUAAUACCGGAUAACAUUUUGAACCGCAUGGUUCGAAAUUGAAAGGCGCCUUCGGCUGUCACUUAUGGAUGGACCCGCGUCGCAUUAGCUAGUUGGUGAGGUAACGGCUCACCAAGGCAACGAUGCGUAGCCGACCUGAGAGGGUGAUCGGCCACACUGGGACUGAGACACUGCCCAGACUCCUACGGGAGGCAGCAGUAGGGAAUCUUCCGCAAUGGACGAAAGUCUGACGGAGCAACGCCGCGUGAGUGAUGAAGGCUUUCGGGUCGUAAAACUCUGUUGUUAGGGAAGAACAAGUGCUAGUUGAAUAAGCUGGCACCUUGACGGUACCUAACCAGAAAGCCACGGCUAACUACGUGCCAGCAGCCGCCGCCG